AUUGAACGCUGGCGGCAGGCCUAACACAUGCAAGUCGAGCGGACGAAGGGAGCUUGCUCCUGGCUUCAGCGGCGGACGGGUGAGUAAUGCCUAGGAAUCUGCCUGGCAGUGGGGGAUAACGUCAGGAAACGGGCGCUAAUACCGCAUACGUCCUGAGGGAGAAAGGGGGGGAUCUUCGGACCUCACGCUAUUAGAUGAGCCUAGGUCGGAUUAGCUAGUUGGUGGGGUAAAGGCCUACCAAGGCGACGAUCCGUAACUGGUCUGAGAGGAUGAUCAGUCACACUGGAACUGAGACACGGUCCAGACUCCUACGGGAGGCAGCAGUGGGGAAUAUUGGACAAUGGGCGAAAGCCUGAUCCAGCCAUGCCGCGUGUGUGAAGAAGGUCUUCGGAUUGUAAAGCACUUUAAGUUGGGAGGAAGGGCAGUAAGUUAAUACCUUGCUGUUUUGACGUUACCAACAGAAUAAGCACCGGCUAACUUCGUG
rnacentral:rRNA from 1 species